CUGUGCACAAAGGAAUAAGCCAAACUGCAUCUUGCCAUCCCCAAACAAGAUUCUUGCCUUCCCUCAGCUUUAAUGACCGCGCUGAAGGAAGCAUUUGGGCCCUGAUGGAAAGGAACAGACAUCAACCUUGGCACCAUCAGGCAUCGACUUCUACAAAUUUUGAAUAUGUACACUGAGAUGUAGGAACACAGUUAAAUGGCGGCUCUUGACUGUGUCGCAGAGGUCAUGUUCUACCCAGAGGUAGCCAACACAUGAUGAUUCCAAGUUGGGCAUUGUCUCCAAUGUGGGUUCCAGUUGAUGACAUUGGAGUAUUUCUAGGGGCAGGAGAGAUGGCUCAGCAGUUAAGAGCACUGACUGCUCUUCCGGAGGUCCAGAGUUCAAUUCCUAGCAACUACACAAUGCUCACAACCAUCUGUAAUGGGAUUCAAUGCCCUCUUCUGGUGUGUCUGAAGACAGCUGCAGUGUACUCACCUACAUAAAAUAAAUAAAUCUCAACAGAGAAA